rnacentral:rRNA from 1 species
GAUGAACGCUGGCGGCGUGCCUAAUACAUGCAAGUCGAACGCUGAAGGAAGGAGCUUGCUCUUUCCGGAUGAGUUGCGAACGGGUGAGUAACGCGUAGGUAACCUGCCUGGUAGCGGGGGAUAACUAUUGGAAACGAUAGCUAAUACCGCAUAACAGUAGAUGUUGCAUGAUAUCUACUUAAAAGGUGCAAUUGCACCACUACCAGAUGGACCUGCGUUGUAUUAGCUAGUUGGUGAGGUAACGGCUCACCAAGGCGACGAUACAUAGCCGACCUGAGAGGGUGAUCGGCCACACUGGGACUGAGACACGGCCCAGACUCCUACGGGAGGCAGCAGUAGGGAAUCUUCGGCAAUGGACGGAAGUCUGACCGAGCAACGCCGCGUGAGUGAAGAAGGUUUUCGGAUCGUAAAGCUCUGUUGUAAGAGAAGAACGAGUGUGAGAGUGGAAAGUUCACACUGUGACGGUACCUUACCAGAAAGGGACGGCUAACUACGUG